rnacentral:rRNA from 1 species
AGAGUUUGAUCCUGGCUCAGGAUGAACGCUGGCGGCGUGUCUAAGGCAUGCAAGUCGAAUGGUCUGGUUUCCAGACCAUGGCAAACGGGAGAGUAACACAUUGGUAAUUUACCCCAAAGACGAGAAUAAUCCAGAGAAAUCUGGAAUAAUACUCGAUAUUAUGCAUUGUCGCCUGAUAAUGCAUCAAAGCUCCGGCGCUUUGGGAGAAGCCUAUGGUCUAUCAGCUAGUUGGUGAGGUAAUGGCCCACCAAGGCGACGACGGAUAGCGGGUGUGAGAGCAUGACCCGUCUCACUGGGACUGAGACACUGCCCAGACUCCUACGGGAGGCUGCAGUCAAGAAUAUUCCUCAAUGGCCGAAAGGCUGAAGGAGCGACGCCGCGUGUAUGAUGAAGCCCUUCGGGGUGUAAAAUACUUUUAACCGGGACGAAGUACUGACGGUACCGGUUGAAUAAGGGGCUGCUAACCUCGUGCCAGCAGCAGCGGUAAUACGAGGGCCCCGAGCGUUAUCCGGAUUUAUUGGGCGUAAAGGGUGUGUAGGCUGUUUAUACCAUCUCCUGUUAAAUCUUAAGGCUCAACCUUGAGGCUGCGGGAGAUAUGAAUAAACUAGAGUUCGGAAGAGGCAAGCGGAAUUGCUGGUGUAGGGGUUAAAUCCGUUAAUAUCAGCAAGAACACCGAAAGCGAAGGCAGCUUGCUAGGACGACACUGACGCUGAGACACGAAAGCGUGGGGAGCGAAUGGGAUUAGAUACCCCAGUAGUCCACGCUGUAAACGAUGCAUACUAGGUGCAGGGAGAAUCGACCCUUUCUGUGCCGUAGCUAACGCGUUAAGUAUGCCGCCUGGGAAGUACGAGCGCAAGCUUAAAACUCAAAGGAAUAGACGGGGACCCGCACAAGCGGUGGAGCAUGUGGUUUA